GCCUCGUUGAGACUUCUCAUUUUCCAGUGCUGACCUUUUGCUGUGCCAAAUCAAACUAGUAUUAAAAACUUUGUGUGCAGACUUUGAUUUAAUUCUUUCAGCACUUUAACUUAAUUAGCAAGCUGUUUCUUUGCAGUUAUUUCCUGUAAACAUCAUGCCCCCAAGAUAAUUCAUUAUGUAGGUGGAUUUAAUGCUUCUUGGACAAGGAAGAUAAACAAGUGUUAUGAAAUAAGCAUCAAGUAAAAUUGUUGGCAGUUCAGGAAACUAAGACUAUAAUAGAGCAUUUAACCAUAUUUGAAUCAUUUUUCUUUUGAGAGUUGCCUUGGCAAAACAGAAUUUAAAUGCUUCAUUAAUCAUUUAUCAAAGUGAUAAGCGUAGCAUUACAAGUACAGUGAUCCCACCAUUCACUGAGGUACAUGUGUUUAUUUUGUGCCUUUCCCCACUUCAAUUCACAACCUCCAAGGUAUUCUUACUUGAUACCUCAUACAAACAAGAGUAUUUUAAGAAAGUGAUGAAACAGAAAAGAGAAAAAAAAAACAAAAAACAAAAAACCGGAUCUCAGUGACAUUAGAAUGGAACUGCAAAGUCAGAGAGAUUAAUUGUGUUUGAAACUAAGGAAGCAGAGUGUCACUGAAUCAUGAUUGGAAAUUACAUGAUUAUUGGGAUAAAAGAAAAAGCAUUAUAUAGAUUUAAUUGGCAGGCAUCCUAAAAGAGACACACUUUCAAUGUGAUUUAAAUUCUUUUUUUUCUAAUGAAAUAGGCUAAAUUACUAUGAAAAUGUAAAAUUUGCCUUUUUUAAUUAAUCUUGGUAUGGCUAGGUUUUAAUGCCUUAACAUUCAAGAACCCUAAGAAAUGUACAUUUAUUUACCAUGCUCCAUAUUAUUUAUCAUGCUCUGUAUAUAGCUUUCCAGGGUACUAUAUAGAGGGCCUGUGAGAAGGUUCCAUGCAUCAGUGCAAUUAUCAAAUAAACCCGAUGUGCAAAAUCCCCUGAGCCCAUGCUAAGAUGGAGGGAGAGAACUGACUCCCCAGAGCUGCCUACUCACUUACACUUGCACAUGUGUGCUUGCCUAUGGCCAAGCAACCCAUUUUACAUACACACACACACACACACACACACACACACACACACAAACACAUACACACACACACACAGACACACACACACCAAUAACAAUAAAUGAAAAUCAGUUUUCAAUGAGUGAUACUUUAAAAACUAUUGAACAAAAUAUUUUGCUAUAAACCUAAAAUAGGCAAUGGGAAUUAUUCUAUAGAAAAGUAGGUAAGGGAAUAAAUCAAUUUUAUUUAAAAAUGCAAAAGCUACCCUAGUGUUUUAUUUUGCAUUUCCUGGCACUUAAUUCUAAUACAGCACAUCUUCCAAAAAUACUUGAUAGGAAUUAUUACUGCCCUUCCUUAAGAUGAAAUGUUGUAUAUGCUAAAAGUUCUCAGUGUAGUCAUGAAAAGAGUAAUAUAUAUAAUAAAGAGAUUUUGUCAUAGUUGUUAGGUUGAUUGAAAGAGGACAUACUGGAGAGGCAAAGGAUGCUGGGUGCUUCUGUGAGUUUGCACAUAAUAAAAACUUCUGAUGCAUAAGCUAAACAAAGCUGAUGGCGCCUUUCUUAGCACCUGGGUCAACAGUGCUUUCUUGUCCUUAUAAGUGAUUAAAUUCAGAACAAUUAAAUUUUAGCUUUAAAAUGUUGAUCACAUUUCUAUGUAUCAAAACUAGCGAUUUUUUUUCUCAACAGAAAAAGAUUAGAAAUGUAAGGGUUUUUUUUUUUAACCUUUUAUUGAUUCUUUGUGGGUUUUGCAUCAUGUGUGCCAGUCUCACUCAUCUAUGUCAUAUCUGCCUUUGUCCUUAAAACCUCACCCC
rnacentral:lncRNA from 1 species